UACGUAGGGGGCAAGCGUUGUCCGGAUUUAUUGGGCGUAAAGAGCGUGUAGGCGGCCAGGUAGGUCCGUUGUGAAAACUCGAGGCUCAACCUCGAGACGCCGAUGGAAACCAUCUGGCUAGAGUCCGGAAGAGGAGAGUGGAAUUCCCGGUGUAGCGGUGAAAUGCGCAGAUAUCGGGAAGAACACCCGUGGCUAAGGCGGCUCUCUAGUACGGUACUGACGCUGAGGCGCGAAAGCUGGGGGAGCAAACGGG
rnacentral:rRNA from 1 species